GGGGAUAUAGCUCAGUUGGUAGAGUGCUUGCCUUGCAUGCACAAGGCCCUGGAUUCAAUCCCCAGUAUCCCCC
rnacentral:tRNA from 1 species